rnacentral:lncRNA from 1 species
GAAUGUGAGAGUGAACUGCCUGCGCCAUCUGUCACCCUAUUGAUGGCCAGGGUCAAUCUGAUCUGGCUGGCUAGGCAGGUGUCCCCUUCCUCCAUCAUUGCUCCACAUGCUUCCUCUCAAAGCUGCACACUGGGUCAAAGAGGAUGAGCUUCCCUGAAGAAGGAGGAUGAUCUUCCAUCAAGGAUAUAACUGUGUUCCCUUGCUAGAACCUCCAAACAAGGUCUUAGG